UACGUAGGUGGCAAGCGUUGUCCGGAAUUAUUGGGCGUAAAGCGCGCGCAGGUGGUUCUUUAAGUCUGAUGUGAGAGCCCACGGCUCAACCGUGGAGGGUCAUUGGAAACUGGGGAACUUGAGUGCAGAAGAGGAAAGUGGAAUUCCAAGUGUAGCGGUGAAAUGCGUAGAGAUUUGGAGGAACACCAGUGGCGAAGGCGACUUUCUGGUCUGUAACUGACACUGGGGCGCGAAAGCGUGGGGAGCAAACAGG
rnacentral:rRNA from 1 species